GCCGGGCAUGGUGGUGCACGCCUGUAAUCCCAGCUACUUGGGAGGCUGAGGUAGGAGAAUUGCUUGAACCUGGGAGGCAGAGGUUGCAGUGAGCCAAGAUUGUGCCACUGCACUCCAGCCUGGGUGACAGAGUGAGACUCUGUCUCAA
ensembl:misc_RNA Metazoa_SRP Metazoan signal recognition particle RNA